rnacentral:rRNA from 1 species
UACGUAGGGGGCAAGCGUUAUCCGGAUUUACUGGGUGUAAAGGGAGCGUAGACGGCAGGGCAAGUCUGGAGUGAAAGGCAGGGGCCCAACCCCUGGACUGCUCUGGAAACUGUCCGGCUGGAGUGCAGGAGAGGUAAGUGGAAUUCCUAGUGUAGCGGUGAAAUGCGUAGAUAUUAGGAGGAACACCAGUGGCGAAAGCGGCUCUCUGGCCUGUAACUGACACUGAGGCUCGAAAGCGUGGGGAGCAAACAGG